rnacentral:rRNA from 1 species
AAAUCAACAUUAUAACGGCGUAAAGCGUGGUCACAUGUUAUCCAAGUAGCUAAGAUUAAAAAGCAACUGAGCCGUCAUAAGCCCAAGAUGCGUCAUAAGGCCUCUAUUCAAAGAAAAUCUUAGACCAACGAUCAAUUAAAGCCACGAAAGCCAGGACCCAAACUGGGAUUAGAUACCCCACUAUGCCUGGCCCUAAAUCUUGAUGCUCGAUCUAACCGGAGCAUCCGCCCGAGAACUACGAGCACAAACGCUUAAAACUCUAAGGACUUGGCGGUGCUCCAAAUCCACCUAGAGGAGCCUGUUCUGUAAUCGAUGAUCCACGAUAUACCUGACCAUUCCUUGCCCAAAACAGCCUAUAUACCGCCGUCUCCAGCCCACCCCGCAUGAAGGUUCAACA